rnacentral:rRNA from 1 species
AGCGAACGCUGGCGGCAGGCCUAACACAUGCAAGUCGAGCGGCCAUAGCAAUAUGGCAGCGGCAGACGGGAGAGUAACACGUGGGAACGUACCCUUCGGUUCGGAAUAACUCAGGGAAACUUGAGCUAAUACCGGAUACGUCUGUAAGGAGAAAGAUUUAUCGCCGAGGGAUCGGCCCGCGUCCGAUUAGCUAGUUGGUGGGGUAAUGGCCCACCAAGGCGACGAUCGGUAGCUGGUCUGAGAGGAUGAUCAGCCUCACUGGGACUGAGACACGGCCCAGACUCCUACGGGAGGCAGCAGUGGGGAAUAUUGGACAAUGGGCGCAAGCCUGAUCCAGCCAUGCCGCGUGGGUGAUGAAGGCCCUAGGGUUGUAAAGCCCUUUCGGCGGGGAAGAUAAUGACGGUACCCGCAGAAGAAGCCCCGGCUAACUUCGUGCCAGCCGCCGCCGUAAGAC